rnacentral:rRNA from 1 species
UCCGAUCUCUCAGAUUGAACGCUGGCGGUAGGCUUAACACAUGCAAGUCGAGCGGAUUAUAGAGCUUGCUCUAUAGUUAGCGGCGAACGGGUGAGUAAUGCCUAGGAAUCUGCCCAUUAGCGGGGGAUAACGUUCCGAAAGGAACGCUAAUACCGCAUACGCCCUACGGGGGAAAGCAGGGGAUCUUCGGACCUUGCACUAAUGGAUGAGCCUAGGUCAGAUUAGCUAGUUGGUGAGGUAAUGGCUCACCAAGGCGACGAUCUGUAGCGGGUCUGAGAGGAUGAUCCGCCACACUGGAACUGAGACACGGUCCAGACUCCUACGGGAGGCAGCAGUGGGGAAUAUUGGACAAUGGGCGCAAGCCUGAUCCAGCCAUACCGCGUGUGUGAAGAAGGCCUUUUGGUUGUAAAGCACUUUAAGCGAGGAGGAGGGCACUUUGGCUAAUACCCGAAUGUGUCGGACGUUACUCGCAGAAUAAGCACCGGCUAACUCUGUGCCAGCAGCCGCGGUAAUACAGAGGGUGCGAGCGUUAAUCGGAAUUACUGGGCGUAAAGCGCGCGUAGGCGGCUUGUUAAGUCGGAUGUGAAAUCCCCGGGCUCAACCUGGGCACUGCAUUCGAUACUGGCAAGCUAGAGUAUGGGAGAGGAAGGUAGAAUUCCAGGUGUAGCGGUGAAAUGCGUAGAGAUCUGGAGGAAUACCGAUGGCGAAGGCAGCCUUCUGGCCUAAUACUGACGCUGAGGUGCGAAAGCAUGGGGAGCAAACAGGAUUAGAUACCCUGGUAGUCCAUGCCGUAAACGAUGUCAACUAGCCGUUGGGGACCUUGAGUCCUUAGUGGCGCAGCUAACGCGAUAAGUUGACCGCCUGGGGAGUACGGUCGCAAGACUAAAACUCAAAUGAAUUGACGGGGGCCCGCACAAGCGGUGGAGCAUGUGGUUUAA